GCCAAAAAAAAUGUGCAACAAAAAAGAUAAGUUUAGAUGGAAGGACUAUGAAUUAGCCUAAGCAAAUAAAACGAAAAAGAAUAAUGAUGAAUGGAAAGAACCACAAGUAAAUGUAACAAUGGGUGCAAGAGGAAGGGUGGAGGGUUUCUGAGCCAAUUAAAAUGGGUCUAAUCAAGACAAUUAAAACACCAGGCAAUCAAGGUUGGAACUUCUAUAUAGACAACUACAUUAGGCUGGGUAUAAAGACAUGAGUAAGGAUAAAGAUUGUGAUUGCAAAUGGAAAGAUGACUAUAAAGACAAGAGUGACCUUUAUAUUCCACUGGGGAAUCAUGAUACUGAGUUUGAAAAUUCAAGUAUGAAAGCUUUGCUUGCGAAACUUGUUAAGGGGUCGGAGAGCAAAGAAAUAACCUUAAAGAGAUUAGAGCAAACAUUUCAGGGAUAAGCCAAAAAGUUGAAUCUCAUGCAACUGUCAUUAAACAACUUGAGCAAUAAUUUGGGAAGAUAUCCCCCGAACUAAACUAGUAUCGACUGGGCACA
rnacentral:lncRNA from 1 species